CUUUCUGUGUCAUGAGCUCACCCUGGCCAGGGUUAAGAGCAUGAGGUCUCAUCCUCAUUUAAACUUUGAUCAGCUUCACCCUAACGUUCAAUGUUAGUGGUUAAGAGCUACAGAUUACCCCUUACAGUUUGGCUUGUUUGUCGAGGUUGAGCACUCCCUCUUGACUAAAGCCCACCCAUUGUUUGAGCCUCUUGUAUGGA
rnacentral:lncRNA from 1 species